CUUAUAUAUUUUCCCCAAUUUCUUCGGUCCAUCUUCAUCGAAAUUUCGAAAGAUACAUUAUUUUAUUCAACCCCGAUUGUAUAAUUUCAGUGAAUUCAUCAAUCAAUAUCGUAGAGAUAAAGCGUGAUCAAACUCAAAUUCUUCAGAAAAAUCACUGUUUUAGGACUCAGUCGUGACUGUGGCUCAAGAUAUAAUUAAUAAUUCUAUAUUCAAGGCUGUAUUUCUUCAAGAUUUGUAGGACAGUUCAUUACUGAAAUAUAUGUUGGAUGCUUUGGAGCAUUGCAUGAGAGCUUGGUUUCGGGUUUAAUUUUCAUGUCCUAACUCUGAUCAGUGUUGUAAAGAUUCAGAAGCUAUCAGUGCGAAUAUAUUAUUCACUUGGUGAGUAUUCAAAUAAAUUGAUGAUACCUUUUCAACUUCAAGCUACUUUAUUUUUUUAAUUUUUUAUACUUUAUCAAUCGUAUCAGCUGCUUUGUAUCCAUUGUAGAUUUGUAUUUCUACAAAAGCCUGUGUGCAUUGUCUUGUGUUAUCUUCAUUACCAAAUGUUUUCAUCCCACAUUUCUGAUUUCUGUUCCGUAUCACAAGCCAGCAGCUCGGCAUACUAAUUCUUUUAGAUGUUUAUGUUUUUAUAUUUGUUCCAUUUGUCAUGUUCAUCUUCAGCACUUAUUUGGUGUGCUCUUUGUUUUGGAGAAUGGGCAUUGAGUAGGUUCUCUAAUCUCUUAGAUUAAUAUGGUGAGUUUAUUAUAGCAGCACAAGGCUGUUUGCUUUUAGACUGAUGAAAUAUGAGUGAGUGAUUAAGAACUAUAUUGUUUGAAGCAUUUCUCUAUCUCAGUAGAUUUUAAUUCAUUAAUGUUGGCCUUAAUAGUUAGUGAUUGAGUGAAUGAUGGGAUGGAAUGAAUGGAAUGCUAAAUUUAAUUUAUUGGAAGUUUUACUGUAUUCCUACAACUAG